rnacentral:misc_RNA from 1 species
AUCGAUGAGCACGACUAUCAGACCAAAAAGAACAAUGUGGUUCGUUUCCUGAAAAAGGGUAACAAGGUCAAGGUGACCAUCAUGUUCCGCGGUCGUGAGCAGUCCCGACCUGAACUCGGUUUCCGGCUGCUUGAGCGUCUCGCAGAAGAUGUCGGAGAGCUUGCGCACAUAGAGUCCAAGCCGAAGCAAGACGGCCGCAACAUGACGAUGGUUCUAGGACCAGCCUCCAAAAAGGGCAAGAAGUAAACCGUUGACAAACUCUGAAGGGUUUUAAAAAUGAAGCAGAAGACCCACAAGGGCA